GAUGAAGAACGCAGCGAAAUGCGAUACUUGGUGUGAAUUGCAGAAUCCCGUGAACCAUCGAGUCUUUGAACGCAAGUUGCGCCCGAAGCCAUUAGGCCGAGGGCACGCCUGCCUGGGCGUCACACGUCGUUGCCCCCCCAUCUACUCCUUCGGGAUUGCGGGGGGCGGAUGAUGGCCUCUCGUGCGCCUCGUCGCGCGGUUGGCCUAAAUGCCAAGUCCUCGGCGACGCACGCCACGACAAUCGGUGGUUGCGAAACCUCGGUUGCCCGUCGUGUGCGGUCGUCGCGCAUCGAGGGCUCGAAAAAAUUGCCGGGCUUCGGCUCGACUUUCAACGCGACCCCAGGUCAGGCGGGGUUACCCGCUGAAUUUAAGCAUAUCAAUAAGCGGAGGA
rnacentral:misc_RNA from 1 species